rnacentral:rRNA from 1 species
UGAGCAAUCUGCCCUUCACAUCGGAAUAACCAUUGGAUACGAUGGCUAAUACCGAAUAUGACUUCGGAUCGCAUGAUCUGAAGUGGAAAGCUCCGGCGGUGAAGGAUGAGCUCGCGGCCUAUCAGCUUGUUGGUGAGGUAAUAGCUCACCAAGGCGAUGACGGGUAGCCGGCCUGAGAGGGUGACCGGCCACACUGGGACUGAGACCAGGCCCA